rnacentral:rRNA from 1 species
GAAAUUCCUGGGGGUAAAGCCCAGGUAGGGGGAUAUUUAAGUCAGGGGUGAAAUCCCGCAGUUCAAUCGGGGAACUCCCUUUAAUACUGGGUAUCUUGAGUAUGGAAGAGGUAAGGGGAAUUCCGAGUGUAGAGGUGAAAUUCGUAGAUAUUCGGAGGAACCCCAGUGGCGAAGGCGGCUUACUGGUCCAUUUCGGACGUUGAGUGGGAAAGCGGGGGGACCAACCAGGAUUAGAUACCCGGGUAGUCCCCCCCGUAAACAUGAAUGUUAGCCGUCGGGCAGUAUACUGUUCGGUGGCGCAGCUAACGCAUUAA